AAUAUAGUGCCUGAAAUUUUAAGGGUAGUUUUGAUAGAACUAAUAAUGUAAACUUUACCUAUAUUA
rnacentral:tRNA from 1 species